rfam:Spirochaetes bacterium RBG_13_68_11 RBG_13_scaffold_5814, whole genome shotgun sequence.
UCCCCUGUAGCUCAGCUGGUAGAGCGGGAGACUGUUAAUCUCUAGGUCGCAGGUUCGAGUCCUGCCGGG